GUUUGAUCUGGCUCAGAUUGAACGCUGGCGGGAUGCUUUACACAUGCAAGUCGAACGGCGGCACGGACUUCGGUCUGGUGGCGAGUGGCGAACAGGUGAGUAAUGUGUCAGGACGUGCCUAGUGGCGGGGGAUAACUACGCGAAAGCGUAGCUAAUACCGCAUACGCCUUCGAGAAGGGGAAAGCGGGGGACGCUGAACUCACUAAUGAAACUUAGCCGAUAUCGGAUUAGCAUGGUUGGUGAGGUAACGGCUCACCAAGGCGACGAUCCGCAACUGGUUGAAGAGACGACCCACUUACACUGGGACUGAGACACGGCCCAGACUCCUACGGGAGGCAGCAGUGAAAUUUUGGACAAUGGGGAAACCCUGAUCCAGCCAUCCCGCGUGUGCGAUGAAGGCCUUCGGGUUGUAAAGCACUUUUUUGGCAGGAAAGAAACGGCACGGGAUAAUACCCCGUGCAAGCUGACGUACCUGCAGAAUGGCGCCGACUGCCCGUGCCAGCAGCCGCGGUAAUGCGGUGCAAGCGUUAAUCGGAAUUACUGGUAAAGCGUGCGCAGGCGGUUCGGAAAAGAAGAUGUGAAAUCCGGAAGCAACUUUGGAACUGCAUUUUUAACUACGAGCUAGAGUGUCAGAGGAGUGGAAUUCCGCGAUGGCAGUGAAAUGCGUAGAUAUGCGGGAAGGUACCGAUGGCGAAGGCAGCCUCUGGGAUAACACUGACGCCUCAUGCAUGGCGUAGAACAGAAGCAAGUUAGAUACCCUGGUAGUCCACGCCCUCAGCAAUCAUCCUUCGCUGUUGGACGCUUCGGGCCUUGUUGACGCAAUAACUGCGGCAAAGUUGACCGCCGCAAGUACGGUCGCAAGAUUAAAACUCGAAAAAGAUUGACAGGACCCGCACAAGCGGUGGAUGAUGUGGAUUAAUUCGAUGCAACGCGAAACCUUACCUACCCUUGGCGGCAUGUCCGGAAUCCCGAAGAGAUUUGGGAGUGCUCGCAAGAGAACCGGAACACAGGGUGCUGCAUGGCUGUCGUCAUCGUCUCCUUGGGGAUGUUGGGUUAGAAUCCCGCAACGAGCGCAACCCUUGUCAUUAGUUGCUACGAAAGGGCACUCUAAUGAGACUGCCGGUGACAAACCGGAGGAAGGUGGGGAUGACGUCAGGGUCCUCAUGGCCCAUAUGGGUAGGGCUACACGUCAUACAAUGGUCGGGACAGAGGGUCGCCAACCCGCGAGGAGCCAAUCCCAGAAACCCCGAUCCGUAGUCCGGAUCAUGAUCUGCAACUCGACUGCGUGAGUCGGAAUCGCUAGUAAUCGCGGAUCAACAUGUCGCGGUGAAUACGUUCCCGGGUCUUCCACCGCCCGUCACACCAUGGGAGUGGGUUUUACCAAAGUAGUUAGCCUAACCGUAAGGAGGCGGUGCAGUAGAAGUUCAUGACUGGGGGUGAAGUCGUAGCUAAGACAG
rnacentral:rRNA from 1 species